GCUGGGUGUGUUGGUACCUGCCUGUAAUCCCAGCUACUGGGGUGGCUGAGGCAGGAGGAUAGCGAGUUUGAUGCCAACCUGGACAAUAUGGUAAAACCCUGUCUUCA
rnacentral:sRNA from 1 species